AUUGAACGCUGGCGGCAUGCCUUACACAUGCAAGUCGAACGGCAGCACGGGUGCUUGCACCUGGUGGCGAGUGGCGAACGGGUGAGUAAUACAUCGGAACAUGUCCUGUAGUGGGGGAUAGCCCGGCGAAAGCCGGAUUAAUACCGCAUACGAUCUACGGAUGAAAGCGGGGGACCUUCGGACCUCGCGCUAUAGGGUUGGCCGAUGGCUGAUUAGCUAGUUGGUGGGGUAAAGGCCUACCAAGGCGACGAUCAGUAGCUGGUCUGAGAGGACGACCAGCCACACUGGGACUGAGACACGGCCCAGACUCCUACGGGAGGCAGCAGUGGGGAAUUUUGGACAAUGGGCGAAAGCCUGAUCCAGCAAUGCCGCGUGUGUGAAGAAGGCCUUCGGGUUGUAAAGCACUUUUGUCCGGAAAGAAAUCCUUGGCCCUAAUACGGUCGGGGGAUGACGGUACCGGAAGAAUAAGCACCGGCUAACUACGUG
rnacentral:rRNA from 1 species